AAAUAUAAAAAAGACUAGACCUAGAGAUAUAGAGAUCAGCGCCGUUUUCAAUACAUAGACCCCCUAGCCUUGGCUUCUUCUUACUCGAUUUUUCUCUACAAAGCAUCAACUACAUAUACAAAGAACACAACAAUCAGCCAAAAAAAUUACAAAAAACAAUGACCUAGACCCUAGACAUACAAGGAGUGUCGGCUUUGGACUGAGAACCCUCCCCCAUCGGUCUUCUUCUCCAAACACCAACAACCAUUCGACCUUGAGGACCUUCAACCAAGAGACGAACCCAUCGUCGCUUCUUCUUUAGGCACCCGAAGCAGCUAUGAAAGAAUCUUAACGCCACAACCAACCACCUCCCUUCACCCAUCGCUGUUUCUGUUUCUUUUCGUUCAUAGCAGCUCGCCGGAAAACGAGCUGAAACGACCACCAAAAUCAACCUAGACAGACUGUUUCUGCCCCAUUCUAAUGCAGUCGAAGUUCUGUCCGUUUUCGAGUUCGCCAGCAAGUUUUGAUACUCCGUCUGAGGGCUCGUUCAUGGUCUUGUCCGUUUCUGCUUGUUCAAGUUAUUAAGAAUUAAGUUUGUUGGAUGAGGAAAGGUUGAAGUUUAAAGAGGUCAUGUUCUAACUUUACCUAUCUUUCUAAUUUCCAGAUCUUGUAUCAUGGUUUUUUGAAUUAUUUUGUUUGACUUCAUUUGUUUUCGUCUGUCUUGUUUGCUUACAAGACUUGCUUUCUUUAGUUAACUGUAAAUAACUAGCUAUUAUGUUUUCUAUUUUUUUCUUGGAAUUAAGGGAAUAUGUGAUUCUUAGAAUGUUACCUUGUCUAUAUAUUAAGAAUCGCAUAGGUUCAAUUGUUAGGCCGAAGCCAUGAAAUUUGCCGUUAUGUUGGUGAGGAUCAUGUACAUAAUUAUUUAUCUAUGUAGGCUAGCUUUUGGUGGAAAUCUAUGUAAAUAUUUUCUCUUGUCUAUACAUGAAAUACCAAGAUUUAGCUACUGUCCACAUUAGAAAGCAUGUUCUAAGAUUCUUUUAUUAUGAGAUUAUAGAAAUCAUGUCCAUAAAAAUUAUGUUUUCAACCGGAAAUGCUAUAACAAGUGGAGCUUUGGAUCAUUUCUUUUAGUUUUUUAAUUUUUUAUUUUACCUUAGGCUACUAAUAGUCCGGGGUGUUCCAUCCACGAUUUAAUCAUACAUGGCCCUCGUAUUAAUCUCAUAACCUAGAUUUAAAAAUGACAAAUUCUCGUAGUUUGCUUUAGGCGCGUUAAUUAAAUAAAGUUUCAUAGCUAAGGGUACGGUUCCUGUGACGCAAUUGUGACACACAAUUUCCAAAUCCGGGUGUGCAUUUCAUGUGACCCGACUUCAAUUCCCAAUGAUGUUUGAUAAAUAAAUAUGUCGUGAACCGCAGAUGCAUUUCAUGUAGCGUAGUUUACGGCUUGUUUUCAAAAGCGGACAAGUGUAUGGCGAUUAUGAAUUUUCCUAAAAAAUAUUAAAAGUGGUUAAAAAGUUAAAAAAUGCACAUAGGUUUAAAAUGUGUAAUUAAUCGGAUAAUUAGGCCAAUAAUAAUAGUUGAGCGACCGUGCUAGAACCACAGAACUCGGGAGUGCCUAAGACCUUCUCCAGGGUUAACAGAAUUCCUUACCCGGAUUUCUGCGUUUCGCAGACAUUAGUACAGAUUCAAAUUUUCUCGAUUCAGGAUUCUAAACCGGUGACUUGGGACACCAUAAAUUAUCCCAAGUGGCGACUCUAAUUUUUAAACAAAUAAUCCCGUUUCGAUUGUCACUUAAAUUGGAAAAAACUCCCUUAUACCUUUCUGGGGGUAGUAAAAAGGAGGUGUGAUAGUUAUGAUAAGAAUAAACUCUUUUCGACCAAUCAAAUUGAAGUGUGACAAGACCGUAUUUGAUUGACCAGAACAUGUCACUUGCAUAUGUGGCGCGAGUUCAUUGGUCUUUUAAUUUGACUUGGCAUGCCUUAUCAUUUUGACAUGUGGCAUAAUCUUAUUGUCUCUUUUGUUUGACUUGGCGUGCCACGUCAUUUGACACAUGGCACCAAACUGGGCCUCUAGGAAGAUGACUUCUUGGGCCUAAUGAAGUGGGAUAAUCACUUUAGUCCAAUGGAUUAAGACAUAUUUAUUUAAUUAAUAGAUAUUGAUUUAUAUAAUUAAUCCAAUUAUAUUAGACCAUAAUAUUUAUUUGGAAUAAUAUAUCUUAAAUUUAAAAUAUAGUCCAAAUUAUUUUAUAGAUUUAAUUCCAAUAAAAUUUAUAUGCCUAUGUAUAUAUAUAUAUAUAGAUAUCCAAUUAGAAAUAUGGUCUUAUAUAUAGAAGAAGGAAACAAAGUUAGGAAGUGUUACAUGAUCUUCUUGGAUGGAAAAUGAAUACAUGUAUGUAUACGGUCAAAAUCGAGCUUGCCCUUUUUGUAUGGUUAAUCGAGACCGGCGCGUGGCAGGCCAAGGUUCGACCCCAUGUCAUACCGGACCGUGACAUGAAGUUAUAUUGCCAAGCUCAUGACUCAGGGACCGAUCGAGAUCGAGAUCAGCCAAGAUCGAGAUCGAGCAAGAUCGAGGGAAGCCUACCGAGCCAAAUAAUAGAAAGCCAAGAUAUCCGCGAUCGAGCGAGGAUAACGACGGAAAUCUUGGCAAGUAUCAAGAAGAGACCGAUUAAUCAGAUAAUCAUGAGACUUCUUACUGUAUUUAGGAUUGUAUUAAGGGUAGGACUCCCUUACUAUAUAAAAGGGGGUUUGAUCAUUUGUAAGGAGGAUCAUAUUCACACUACAUAAAGCAAUAUACUAUCUUUCUCUUAAGCUUUCAUUAUCUUGUUACUUUGUUCUUGUAUCAGCUGAAUCUUCACUCGGUUCAAGGGUGAUCGAAUUCGAGGGCCAAGGCUAUUUGAUUCGUUCGGUUUGUAUUUACUCUUUUACAGUCAAUUUCAACAUUAAUUUGUGUGUUUGUGCCAAGCAAAAUCAUGUGUCCUUAAAACCACAAUAUAAAUUCAAUUGUUAUUCAUUUUUAGGGUAAAUAGUUUGGCGCCCAUCGUGGGGCUAAGGAUAAUAGUGGUUACCUGGUACAAACUUUCGUAACACAUACUAUUUUACACUUGUUCUUUCAAGUAUCUUUGAUUACAGGAUUAAAAAAUGUCAAACUCUCAGUCAGCACCUCAACACAUUGACAAUGAUCUCAGCCACCACGGCGAAAAUGAGAAUAUUGCACCAGGAAACGUUAUACCCCCUGCUAGCCUCGAUGGAAUUCCGACUGUAGAUCCAAUCGACGCAUGUAGCCAUCAAUGGAAAUUUGGCCAUCGAUCCCAAAAGUAGCGUUCAUGGGGGUACCCGAUCAGCUACUCAGAACGCACAUGGCGGUGAAGAUGGCGGGAUCAACCUGUGGGUUAUCUUCGAAAUAUUGCAGGCCCAACAAGCAGCAAUAGCCCAGCUCUACAAUCAGAAUCACACACUGAGCAGGGUCGAACUCGAGCCAUCCCAAGAAGUUGUAUACAGGGUCGAAUCGACUUCGAGAAAAUCAAAUAAGAAGGAAUUGGAGACCAAUCCUGCUAUCAUAAAGAUACUCGAAGACUGACAAAGCGAAUCGAUACAGGGGAAAAAAAGAUCGAGGAAAACGAUAAGAAGGUGGAAACUUAUAACUCCAGGGUCGACCAAAUCCCGGGGACACCACCAAUAUUGAAAGGACUAGAUUCCAAAGAGUUUAUACAAAAAACUUUCCCCCUAGUGUGGCUCCGAAGCCAAUCCCCAAGAAGUUCUGUAUGCCUGAGAUUCCUAAGUAUAACGGGAUGACUGAUCCAAAUGAACACGUCACCUCCUACUCAUUUGCUAUCAAAGGAAAUGGCUCGGAAAAUGAUGGGAUCGGAUCUGCCUUGGUGAAGAAAUUCGGGGAGACUUUAUCGAAGGGUUCUAUGAUAUGGUAUCAUAAUUUACCUCCUAAUUCUAUUGACUCAUUUACUAUGCUUGCAGAUUCUUUUGUAAAGGCAUACACCGGGGCCGUCAAGGUCAUAACCAGGAAGUCAGACCUUUUCAAGGUAAGGCAGAAGAACAACGAGUUGCUUAGAGAAUUCGUGUCUCAAUUCCAAAUGGAACAGAUGGAUUUUCCACUGGUCACCAGCAAUUGGGAUGUUCAAGCUUUCAUUCAAGGUUUCAAAGUUCGAAGUUCAGUAGCUUCACAGCAGUUGAAGCAGAAUUUGACCUAAUACCCAGCUAUUACUUGGGCCGAUGUACAUAAUCGGUGUCAAUCGAAGAUUAGGGUCAAAGAUGAUCAGUUGGGGGCCCCUUCUGGGUCUGUUUAUCCUAUCAGGUCUGUAGAUGAAUCAAGAGGGAUAUUGACCAAGAACCGAGGUCAAAUAGAGAUCAAUAUCAACCAUAUAAUGAAGAUCGUAAAGGCAGAAGAACUGGGCGAAAUUUUGCAUGGAUUGAGAAGAGAAAUGAUCGAGGUCAAAGUCCACGGGGACUUAGUACUGAGGAAGGUCACAUUAAACACCCGAUAUCCAAACGAAGGGAAAUGAGACCGAACUGGGAAUGGCCGUGCCAGAUUCUUGAGAUCAUAGGAAAAAGGGUCCUAUAAGCUCGGAACGAUGGACGGAUAACAACUACCGAACAAUUGGAGCGUGACUCAUCUCAAACAAUAUAACUGCUAAGGUACGGCCCCAUUUCAAUUAUUUCUAUUUUUUGACUAACACUUGCAGGUUAUCGACAAGGAGCGGCAAAAAGCCUUUAGGUCUGAAAGCACGCGUUGCACUCUUUUUCCCUUGAACUGUUUUUGUCCCGAUUAGUUUUUUUGCAAGGUUUUUAACGAGGAAACAAUGGAUCAUGCUAAACUUGAAUCGAAGGUCGAUCAUGAAUCGGUGUCAAAGACAACAUUAACAGUAUCCGAAGUUCCUCUACAAUCAAACUCGAAUACUGGGGGGCAUUGCCCUUGGAUGCCAACUUUGUUACGAGGAAAUUACUGCAUAAUGAUGGGGUCUCGAUAAGUGAGAUUUUUAAGGGUCAAACGAUUGAACGAACCGUGCCCAUAUAGGUUGCUCGAGCCAUGGCACAAAAUAUGUACGCAUGUGUAAUGAUUUUUCACAAGAAUAAAGAGAAGUAUUUUUCCUUGCAAUUAUCUCAUGUCUUAGAAAAAGUUUUUCUACUUUACAAUUCCAUACUUUCAAUCUAUUAUGGAAACGAGCUCAAGGGCAUAUCAUAACCAGAGUUUGGAUAAUCACCCCCACUCUCGGGGACUGUCGUCCAAAAAAUGAAAGUCGAACAUAUUGAAUUAUUGAGCGUUGAGGGCAUAAGACAUUUUAGGCAACCCUCGGAUUUUAAAGGCCACGACCAUACUUACUCGGGGACUCUUUAUCGAGCCCAAGGGCCAUUUUACUUCGAGUUCAAGAAAUCAUUCUUACUCGACUACAAAGCCCAAGGGUUGCCUUAUCUCGAGUUUAAGUAAAUCCUCACUCUACCUCAAAGCCCAAGAGCUGCCUUAACCCGAGUUCAAGCGAAUUCUCACUCGGGGACUAUCUAUUGAGCCCAAGGGCCUCCUUAUCUCGAGUUCGAGCAAGUCCUCACUCGACCAUAAAGCCUAAGGGCUCUUUUUUACUUCGAGUCGAGCAAAUCCUCACUUGAUUAUAAAGCCCAAGGGCUACUUUAUCUCGAGUUCGAGCAAGUCCUCACUCGUCCAGAAAGCCUAAGGGUUACUUUUACUUCGAGUUCGAGCAAGUCCUCACUCGACUACAAAGCCCAAGGGCUACCUUAACUCGAGUUCGAACGAAUUCUCACUCGGGGACUAUCUACCGAGUCCAAGAGCCACCUUAUCUCGAGUUUGAGAAAGUCCUCACUCGACCAUAAAGCCUAAGGGCUACUUUUAUUUCGAAUUCGAGUAAAUCCUCACUCGGCUACAAAGCCCAAGGGCUACCUUAUCUCGAGUUCGAACAAGUCCUCGCUCGACCAUAAAACCUAAGGGCUACUUUUACUUUGAGUUCGAGAAAGUCCUCACUCAACUACAAAUCCCAAGGGCUACCUUAACCCGAGUUCGAGAAAAUUCUCACUCAAUGACUAUCUAUCAAGCCCAAGGGCUACCUUAUCUCGAGUUCAAGAAAGUCCUCACUCGACCAUAAAGCCUAAGGGAUACUUUUACUUCGAGUUCGAGCAAAUCCUCACUCGACUGUUAAGCCUAAGGGCUACCCUUAUUCAAGUUUGAACAUUCACUCAAGGAUUACCGAUCAGAAACGGUCAAGGGAAGUACUUACGAUCGGUCCUUACCAUCUCACACCUUGGACCUUCGCAUACAACUUCGUAAUUUCAUGCUAAGGCGCUUUGACCCUUAUAUAAAUUAACAAAAAGAUAAUAGAUUCAGAAGCCAUGGAAGGAAAAGUAGUUUUAUAUAUUCAUAAAAACCUUUUUACAAGGGCAACAUGGCCCAAUGAAAGUUCUUUACAAAAGGCCAAAGCGGCCUGGAUAGAAAGACAAAAACUAUUUAAAAGCCUAAGUGGACUGGUCAUCUCUGGGAGUUGCAUCUCUGCCCUCGGGGUAUUCUCCACUUUCAGAUUCGUCAUCAUCAACGGGAUAAGCUAAUUUCCCAGCUUCAACUUCAAGCUUCUUAGCGUUCUCGAUCUCAUUUGAAAGAUCAAAGCCCCGAGCAUGGAUUUUAUCAAGGGUAUCCCUUCGAGAUUGACAUUUGGCGUGCUCGAUGAUCCCUUCUGCUUGAAUCUAAAUGGCCUCGGUAGCCUCCUUUGCUCGAACCUGAGCAGCUUCAGCAUCGGCCCAUUAAAUAGCCACCACAGCGUCAACAUUACCCUAGGUUGCCUUAACCUCCGAUUUGGACACUUCAAGCUUCGUGACUAGGUUCUCCCGAAUAGAAUCUGCUGAACCCAACUGGGACUGGAGGUCCUCAAUUUUCUUGGCUUGCACCAAGGCUUUCUCUUUCAUGCUUCAAAGUUGGAUUUUAGCGAGGUCAGCUGGGCCCAGGCAGUCUCCAAUUCUGAGGCCAGGCAAUCCAUGUUCUUAUUCCAUUCUUGGGCCUUAGUUUUCACUGCGUCUAUUUCUUCACGGAGUUUCCCGAUCACAUCGAGCUUUUGUUGGACCUAUGGAUUCGAUCCAUUAGCCACCAUACCCGAGUCACCAUCACUAACUUCAAAGAUUCUUCUUACCUGUUCGGCCAGUUUGGCAUGUUCUUUCUGAGCCAUUUCUAGCUCAGCAUGGAGGCCUUUAGCUUCCCCUUCUCUUUGCUCACUGAGAAGCUUAAAGGCAUCCUUUUCCUCAGUAAGCCCUGGGACCUCAACCUUAUACCGGCUCAACUCCCCUCGGAAUUGGAGAAAGGCUUUGUGAUGAAGCACCGAAGCCUAGAUGCACUGAAAAUAAGAUUAUGCAAAAAAAGCAUAAGUACAAAGAAUUGACAUCGUCAAGGAAAGCCGGGAUUACUCGAUUUAGUGCAUGUUGGGCUUCGUUGAAAAGACAGGGUGUUUCUACCUCAUCCAUCUUAUCUUGGUCUUCUUCGAUGACCAAACAUCAUAGAUAGCUAGACACCCCUAUGGGGGCACAACAGACCUGAGUAUACCGGGACCGAGAUGAUAAUUGAUCGCUUACGCCCGGGGUCGACACUGGGGGUCGGAAGUUGAUUGGCCAGUUUAAAGCUCGAGGAAGCCUCACUUGAGCUCUUCCUCGAUACCUCCAAGUCACGCAGACCGGUGACAUCUUCCACCAGAACAAAAUAGCCAUGGAAAGGGUCUUAUUCUACAUGGACCCCUUCACCGUGGGAAGUCUCCACUGCCUGAGUAUCCUUGAUCAUCGACUCAGUAAAUGAAGGAAACGAGGGGGAAUCUCCAAUAUCUAUCACCCCAAGUAAAUCUUUUGGGGUGCCACUUCAUCUAGGGGGCUUCGAGCAUGGUUUCUAUACCAACAUCAAUCUCCUCCUCGAUAGCCUUCUCACCUCGAGGCAAAGCUGAUAAGUAGGGAUUUUAACGAGUUUCAUGCUCCUUCUUGCCUAUGCUUUGAUUAUAAAUUGUUACAAAAUAGUCCCAAAAGGCUCAUAAUUUGUGCUUGAUUGCAGGUUUGAUCGACAAAUUGAUGAAAUGACAAAGAUCGGCUCAAAAGGAGUGAAACUU
rnacentral:lncRNA from 1 species